rnacentral:rRNA from 1 species
CACCGAAGACGCGGCAGCAAUCUUCAUGGUUGCUGGGUAGGAGAGCGUCCUGCGAGGGGCGAAGCGGCCGGGUAACCGUGCCGUGGACUUCGUGGGAGUGAGAAUGCAGACAUGAGUAGCGAGAGACGGGUGAGGAUCCCGUCCGCUGGAUGACCAAGGGUUCCGGGGCCACGUUCGUCGUCCCCGGGUGAGUCGGGUCCUAAGGCGAGGCCGACAGGCGUAGUCGAAUGGAUGAACGGGUGGAUAUUCCCGUACCGACCAUGGACCGGCAAAACCGAGACGGUGAGUACUAACCUCCGCCUCGUGGUGGUUCCUUCCUUCGGGUUGGUGUCGCCGCGUGGUGUUGGGAGCGUAGCCGUAGUAGGUCAGCGCAGGGGUGACACGGAAUGGGAGCCGGCCGCGGAGGUGGUUUUCCGUGGUCAAGCACGCAGCCAGUCAUGUAGGCAAAUCCGCAUGGCGCGCAUGGCGAGGUGUGAUGAUGGGAGCCUUUUGGCUCGAUAUCCGGUUGUCCAGGCCGUCGAGAAAAGCCUCGGCGUGAGGGCCAUGGCCGCCCGUACCCCAAACCGACACUGGUGGUCAGGUAGAGAAUACCAAGGCGAUCGAGCGAAUCCUGGUCAAGGAACUCGGCAAAUCACUCCCGUGCCUUCGGUAUAAGGGAGACCCGCUGGGGUGAACCGGCUAGCCCGGGGAGCUUUGGUGGGUGGCACAGACCAGGGGGUAGCGACUGUUUACCAAAAACACAGGUGCAUGCGAAGGCGAAAGCCGCUGUAUAUGCACUGACGCCUGCCCGGUGCCGGAAGGUUAAGAGGAUCCGUCAAUCCCUUCGGGGACGAAGCGGUGAAUUCAAGCCCCGGUAAACGGCGGUGGUAACUAUAACCAUCCUAAGGUAGCGAAAUUCCUUGUCGGGUAAGUUCCGACCUGCACGAAUGGCGUAACGACUUCCCCACUGUCUCGACCAGGAGCUCGGCGAAAUUGCAGUACGAGUAAAGAUGCUCGUUAAGCGCAGAAGGACGAAAAGACCCCGGGACCUUUACUAUACCUUGGUAUUGGCGUUAGGCGCGGAUUGUGUAGCAUAGGCGGGAGGCUUCGAAGCGUGGGCGCCAGCUCAUGUGGAGCCGCAAGGUGAAAUACCGCUCUGUUCUCGUUUGACGUCUAACCUCGACAAGUCAUCCUUGUCAGGGACAGUGCCUGGCGGGUAGUUCAACUGGGGCGGUUGCCUCCCAAAGAGUAACGGAGGCGCUCAAAGGUCCGCUCAGCCCGGUUGGCAAUCGGGUGUCGAGUGUAAUCGCACAAGCGGGCUUGACUGCGAGGACGACGGUCCGAGCAGGGACGAAAGUCGGAGAUAGUGAUCCGGUGCCGGCGCACGGGCGCGGCAUCGCUCAACGGAUAAAAGGUACCCCGGGGAUAACAGGCUGAUCAUUCCCAAGAGUCCAUAUCGACGGGAUGGUUUGGCACCUCGAUGUCGGCUCGUCGCAUCCUGGGGCUGGAGCAGGUCCCAAGGGUUCGGCUGUUCGCCGAUUAAAGCGGCACGCGAGCUGGGUUCAGAACGUCGUGAGACAGUUUGGUCUCUAUCCUCUGCGCUCGUUGGAAUCCUGAGGAGGCCUGCCCAUAGUACGAGAGGACCUGGGUGGACGAACCUCUGGUAUGCCGGUUGUCGCGCCAGCGGCACGGCCGGUUGGCUACGUUCGGGAGGGAUAACCGCUGAAAGCAUCUAAGCGGGAAGCCUGCUCCAAGAUUAGGAUUCCAUGGAUCUUCGAGAUCCUGUAGCCCGCAUGUUGAACACGUGUUUGAUAGGCCGGAGGUGGAAGCCCCGUGAGGGGUGGAGCCGACCGGUACUAACGGGCGACGGCGACACAA